rnacentral:rRNA from 1 species
UACGUAGGGUGCGAGCGUUGUCCGGAAUUAUUGGGCGUAAAGAGCUCGUAGGCGGCUUGUCGCGUCGGAUGUGAAAGCCCGGGGCUCAACCUCGGGCCUGCAGUGGGUACGGGCAGACUAGAGUGCGGUAGGGGAGAAUGGAACUCCUGGUGUAGCGGUGGAAUGCGCAGAUAUCAGGAAGAACACCGAUGGCGAAGGCAGUUCUCUGGGCCGUAACUGACGCUGAGGAGCGAAAGCGUGGGGAGCGAACAGG